AAAGAAAUUAAGCGUGUAAAAAGAUACGUUUUAUUUACUUUUUUUUUCAAUUCAUUAUUCGAAUAAUGUUCGUUAAGAUUAAAAAAAAUACAAAAUAUCCAAUUUUUCAUUUCAAAUUGAUUCAAAUUGACAUCAUAUAAAAUUGGCAUAAACUAGAAAUCUAGUAAAGGGAAACAAAUUCAUUAAAAGUAGAAUAAAAGUUAUGAUAAAUUGGGGGAAAAAAUAUCGUUCACUGUUUGGAUAAAUAUUAAGAUAAAUACGUAACUAAUUAUAAAUGUUUCAUAAAUCUACAAUUUAUCUACAAUUUAUAGUUGCAAAAAAGAAAACGCGUACGAGAUCCCACUUUCCCCAACUCGAGGUCAUCGGAAGUAAAUGUCGAGAGUUUCCGCUAAAGACUUUCGAACGUGUCCCACAAAUCAGGCAUCGCGUGCGUAUCUUGUUUCUGGAAUCGCAUAAAUUUCACAUUUCGUUCUCGAAACACCGAGCGUAAACUAUCUCACCUAGAAGAGGAUAUUUAUUCGUAUAUCGCAGAAUAUCCGACUACCCAUUUCUAUAUUUCAGUUUCAUCAUUUUUUUUAUAUCCUUCGCAAAAUAUAUCGCGCGACUCUUCUAGAUUUCCACCAUUUGGAUACUUUUUACACAUCGAUUUCUAUUACAUAUUUCUUAUAUUUCUAUAACUUAGAAAUUGAGAUUAAAAUGUGUAUAAAAAAACAUUUAUUUACGAUUCGUAUAUUUGAGAAUAAACAAGAGUUAUCCCCAACGUGUAUUUCGAAAUACUAUUAUAUAAUUAUUCAAAUUGUUAUUGUACAAGUUGCAGAUUAUCGAUCAAAUUCAUUCUUCAAAUUUCCCAAUUCAUAUUUUCCUCAUUUCUGCAAUUCAGAAACGGCAUUAGAAGCAAUUUCUAAUUAACGUUCAACAUCGAUCGAGGAUAGAAUCGUAGAAUAAAAAUGCAGAUUGCUGAUCGGAAGUUACAAUAUUUGAUCAUUCAUAAAUUUGAGAACAUAAAACAACUAUCAAAAAUAUAUAUAUAUAUCUUCUAUCAAGUGUAAGGACUGAACCAUAUACGCGAGAGAACGGAGCUUCCGCCAUUCAACAAGUCCCCAGUCGUGACAUUCUUGAGGCGAGACAUAUUUCCAUCCGCGGUGUUCCGCCGCCAAUUUAUGCCCUCCGGUCCUCGCUUUCGCCCAUCCGCGAAAUGCUUGACAUUGGGCGAACAUGCGCCGUGUUUCCACCCUGUGCUGGCCCUCUUAGACGCUAAUUUACUCGCCUUGACGCGACACUAGCGUGUCACGGCUAGACAGACUGAUGCGAUUAAUGCUUGUGUACCCCCACCGUCGCGCUUAGGAUAAUCUAUACUCAUUAGUAGACCAAGCUUUGGAUAGAAUUUCAGAGGUCUUAGGGAACGUUUCUUGUUGCUUUAAGGAUUAUGCUAAGGGAUUUUUUUUUAUCUCGUGAUUUAUGUAUAAGUGAAGAGAAUGAUAAUUAAAAUAGAUAUAAAUGAAUAAUGAUAGAAUUGAUAGAAUUAAAAAAUUUAAAUAUAAAUCUUCUUUCUGAAGAUUUUAUGCUUCGUUUCAUUCGUUUUUAUUUCAUUUUUUAUAUGUAUUUUUUUUUUUUUCGAUUUGCACUGCACAAGAUAUAGAUUAUCCGGUUGAAACUGGUAGAAGCAACGAGGCGCGGAAUGUUGUAACAACCGUUGUGUGCUCUACGUAAAAGAAAGAAAAACGACAAAUUUUACGCACGUGAAAUCGUUCUACGUAAAAUCCAUUUUUGAUGCUUGUAGAUAACUGUCGCGUAAAAGAUGCCUUGUUCGCUUUUUCGACAAAUUCAGAUACAAUUCGAAUCAAUUCUUCCGUAAAAAAUUUCUUUUAAAACAAUAUCUAUCCAUUGUCUGCUUGUCUCGAUGAAAAAAAUAAAAUUUCUUUAUUCGAUGAAUUUUACGGAGAUCCGAAUUUUUAUAUCCGAAAAAAAGAUAAAAGAAAAAGAGAAAAAGAGAAACUUCUUACAAAUUUUUCAUUUCUUAUGAUACAAUAAAAUUCUUUGUCCAGAUAUCUCUUUGAAAGAUUAAAUCUUCCUAUGUCUGAUUUAUCAUAAAAAAUAAUUAAUAUCUUUUUACUUAUAUAAUUUCUUCAUUUGAAUUUGAAACAAAUCAAAGAAAGAAAGAACAUAUUUUUAUUAAUAUCUUAUAAUUCCUAUAUCAAAAAAAAAAAAAAGAAAAAAGAAAUGUGAAUUUCUUUAUAAAGGAUUUUCUUUCAAUUCAAUAAUUUUUCGCUUCGAUCUAAUCCUCUCUUUCUUCAUCCCUAAUUCAAUAAAUGAAACAAAACUUCUUUGUUCCACGGACUCCACGAGCAUUCUAAUUUUCCUAACCAAAAGAAAAAGAAAAAUAAAAAAAAAAAGAAUAACCUCGUAUAAAUUCUUCAUCUCUAUUCUAUCCCGGACACGGUGACACGAAAUUUUUCGUCCAGAUACCUCGAACAGCUCCGUCAGAAUCAUGAUUCACCACGAUAUCCUCGCGUGGAAAUAAAAAAAAAAAGAGAGAGAGAGAGAUCCUCCGAGCCUUCGUGUCCCGUGCCGUGAACUCGAAUGAGACGAAGCAGAGAGAGAAAAGAGAGAGAAAGAGAGAAACAGGUUUGGAACUGCAUCCAGGAUGGCUUGAUAUGCAGGACGAGGGCUGGUCUAAGGAUGCAACGUGACCUCAUCACUCGGCCUUCGUUCUUUCCUCCACGGUUGUCCGAACUGGAAAAUAUUCCUCCCCCUCUUCUCCUCAAUCGCGUAGCUACGUCCAAGGGAUCUCUGAAACCUUUUCCUAUGCUCGAAACACUUUGGAGCCCGCAAGUUCUCGUAAAUCGUGCAUUUCACUCGAAUCGUGUGAACCGAAUGUCCCGAGUCUUUGGAUCCCUUCGCCCAGUUGUGGACCAUUUCCCGCGUGGCGAAAUGUUUUUGGGACCACGAUUCUUUCGUUUCGCUUUAAAUUGCUUUCGCAUAACAUUUGCGUAUUAUAUGACUUGCGAAUUUUCAAGUUUCGUAGAAUUUUACGUGGCAAUGUUAGUUUUUAUUAAAAUGUAACGUAAAAAUAUUCUUUUUUUUUAAAAUUAUAUUAAUGCAUUUUUAAAAACAAGAAUUUUUCAAUUCCGUAAAAGACAAUUGUAUAAUUUCAAAUUUUUAUUUGUUUCUUAAAAAAUUAUUUGCAAACAAACUUUUUAUAAUAUGAGUGUUUGAUGCUUGUGGUAUGAUUGAAAAGAAUUUGCAAAAAUUUGAAGAAUAAUAUGAUAAUCGAAAUUAAAAUUAUUUUAAUAUCUUCGAUUGUUAAUAUAACAUAUUUUACUUUAAUUUUAACUUUUAUUUACAUUAAAGUUACCAGUAAAUGAUAUAAUUCAAUCAAGAAAAAUUCGAUUCCAACCAAUUCUCGUGAAAAACGUAUUAUUAACAGCUUUCAUUCAAGACAUUUUAUCAAAUUUUCACUUGAAAUUUUCACUCAUUCGAGACAAAUGCAGUUCCAGCCAUCGCGUAACCGCUAUAACUCUACCGAAUCGUUUUCCAACCUAUUUGUAUCUUCGAUUCAUUAUUACACGUCGUACCGCCCAUUCCCAGUUUUCGUUUAAUUAAACCAUACUUCGUCGAGCGAAUUUAUAUACCGCGUGACUUUAUACCCCAAUUGACUUGCCAUAAUCGAUCACGCGAAAAAUUUACACACCUUCCUCCUCUAGAGCCACGAGUUUUUCACGAUAUCUCGUUCGACGCCCGACACGAUAGAUGCAACAUUUUCGCCCUAUUCCCCACCGUCUUGUCAAUCCUCCAACAACGUCGCUCUCGAUCCGAACAAAUCGGCCUGCACGUCCAUUUUCGACUCGAGGGCACGAGAAGAAUGUUCUCGGGACACGUGGCUCCCUGGUUCAUGCGGCACGAUAAUCGAUUCGUGGCCGGAUCGAUGGGGAUCGCGUCGAGAAACCCUUCGUGACCUUCUUCAACUUCUUUCUCCAUCGGAACGAAUAGGGUACGCGACAAAGUGGAGUGGUACACGGAUAAAAGAUUCAGUCGUUUUCUCGUUCGAGGACCAAGGUAUUCCUACCCUAUUUCACUUCUCAUCUAUUUCCUCCAUUGCUUUAGUCACUCUCUUCUCCCUUUUCUCAACCCCUCCUUCCCUCUUCGUUUACCACGUACCACGCGAACCAGAUGUCGCGUUGACUUUAGCCAACCAACUCGAUUUCGCGACACGUAUGCGACCAGCACGAUUAAACUUUAAACCUCUCCAUUCCAUCCAAGGAGAUUCCAUCCCGCCACAUGGUGUCCUCUCUGUUAACUCUCGCUACGAGCCGUUACUCGCGAAGUACUCGCGAAGAGGAGCAGAUCGCCCCAAUCGCGUGCAAUCCGUUUCUUUGAUUCGAUAAAACCUCCUUGUUAAUUUAUUAGCGCCGAUACCGCUUUGAUCCCGUUUCCAAUUCGAUUCCGGUCCGAAAGGGGAAGGGAGGAUCUCGUCGCAUUAAAGUUCGCCGCGCGUGAAUGUUGGAUGACAAUGUCGAUUGGAGGAAAGCAUCGAGAUUGAAUCUCGAGGAAACUCAAACUGUUUACUUGGCUACCCUCUUUUCCGGUGAUUCACGGCUACGAAGGGGGAGGGAAUGGGGGAAUUGGGGGAGAAAAAGUUUUGGGGAGUCGCGAGUCACCGGUGGAUUUCGUAUGCAGCUGUGAGUGACAGCGCUCCUUAAGCCUGAAGGCCAUCCACUCGGCUUAUAAAUUAUUAAUUUUUCUGAGGUAGAAGGUGGGACGCAGAUGCGCGCCGGAAAGUUGAUUAUUCGGGACAACUUGCCGCGAUAAAUCAAGGAGAACAACUCCUUUAAAGUUUGAUGGUCAAUUGGCUAGUCGGCAGAGGGGAAUAGGAUAUUAUUUUUUGCAUCUUAAAGCAACAAGUAAGUUUGAAUUCGUAAGUAUUUUUUGACAGGGAAACGGGGAUCGAAUGUUUGGAAUUGGAAGAUGAGAAGAAAAUUCGAAAAGAACGAUAAGAAUUAAAUAAUUCAAAGGAUACGAAAGGAUACUAGAAUUAUGGAAUAUUAUCGACAAAUAUACGUCGACAUCUUUUAGUUGGCUGGAAAUUAGUUUCCAAAUUAUUCUCACCUAGCAUUCAAAUAAUACAGCAACUUCUUCAACAGUCUUAAUUAUACAUACAUGUUACGGCGGAUGUAUUAAUUCAGGAUGCGUGUACACUUCUUAGUCAAUGUAUGCACAUGCUAAUUCGGUAAAGUAAAUGCAUUCGCAAACAAUGAAGUUUAAAUUCUUGCUAAAAGCGCGUUACAUUACGCAAAUGGAUACAUUCACCUAAUAAGAUUAGAAAAUAUAUACUUGCUGAUAAUUUAAAACAUAUAAUAUAUAAAUAUAUCUACUAUGCAAUAUUAUAAAUCGCUGACAAAUCGAGAUUACGUAGAUGAUUCAAUUUUAAAGUUAUGCAUCGUCACAAAUAUAUAUCGCAGUAAGAUAAACAAUACGAAACGGAUGAAUUGAAAUAGAUUAGUAUAAGAUAAACAAUGAAUCAUUCCACUGAUAUAAAUAUACAAAGUGGAAAGCCUCGUAAUCUCCUUUGUGAAUACAAAGGAUCUUAUUAUUAGACUAAUCUACAAAUUUAUUAAAUUUACUAUACUUACCAUAAAAAUAUGAAUUUCUAUCAUACUAUCGUAAAUAUGAAUCGUCUAGAUUGAUAAAUUUGAUUAACUACAGCUGUGAAGCACAAAUUUCCAUCCCUACAUCAAAUAAAAUUCUCGUAUAACAGCUCUUCGAUAUUUCGAACUCAGGUGUCUUCCGUUAAAUUCACGCCCCGCUCAUCGUCAUCAGCGUUUCAUCAUUAAUUCCACGCGUCAUCCGACCCUCUCUCACCAACUUCCAAAACUCGUGAACCACCUUACCCCAUCGAUUAUUUCCGAGCUCUGCGAUUCGAUCUUCCGCUUCCGGUAACCAAGUGUUUCCAAGAGAGAGAGAGAGAAAGAGAACAGGAUUGAAGAGCAAACCUACGUUCCUCCGCAAUUUUUCACCACCAACAAUGCAAGGGUGGAAUUAGAAGCGCGUGGAUCGGCGUUAAACGAGGGCUAACUCAGAGGAGUAGAGAAGGAUAAGGUUCGGUUUCUAGAAAAGGGAAGAGAAAGAGCGGAGACCCGCUGAGUUUGCUCCCACGAGAUAUCGAACUUUCCCUCUUCCUCGCUCUCCAUGCCGAGUUUAUAACGCGAUCCUGGUGCAACUCAUCGAUUCGGUUCACACGAAUUUCUUACGUAUGCGAACGAUGUCCAAUUGUAACGGCCAGGUGAAUUCGAUUCGGAAAUCGUCGACUCUUAAAGCCACUUCUUUCGCCCGAUUGUUAUCUCCAUCGAUCGUUGAAACGUGAAUAAUUCGGUAAAGGGAGAGAGAAUGAGAAAAAAAGAGAGGAUAACUGUCCUCGAUUUGCUCUUCGACAGUUGGAUAGGUUUUUCGGAGAAUAAAUGGCAGAUACAAAGGAUUGUGAGUUUGCAUGAUAUAUUUUGUUUCUUUUUCCCCUGUUUUUUUAAAAUUUGGGAUUUAACUUAAACGAGUAUUUUAAGAGCGUUGCUUUAAUCUCUUAGUUAUUGAUUUAUAAAUUAUAGAAGGAAAGGGAUGAAGGUUCGAGUCGAUUAAGAAUUUAACGUGUUGAUAGAAAAACAAUUAUUCGUUCUUGAGAGAUAAAUAAUAUUAAAAUAAAGAAGAAAUUGAAUGUAUAUAUUAAUCAUAUGAUUUGAAUAUUCUUGUAAAGUAAGUACAAAAAAAUUCGAUAUUAUAUUUUCACGUUUAAAAUAUUAUACAGAGUAUAUAUUCAUUUUCUUAGGAAAUAAAUUCUCAAUUUAAUCCUGAUUAUGAUUUUUGUUUGUUUAAUUUUGUGUUUAAUUUUAUUCUUCGUUCUAAUAUCAGAAAAUUAAUAAUUUAUCGUUGAAAUUAUUUUCAUCAUUGAUAAUUAAUAACUUAUUCGCAAGACAUGAUAUUGGUAUUGAUUUUGUGUCAGCACGUUGUAGCAAUGUAUUAUUACCAUUUUUAUCAAGUUCACUAAUGCAGAAAAUAAUUGUUCAAUAAUUAAUUUAACAAAAUAAUAACUUUAUUAACGUCCAACACAUUUUAUAAUUCGAACAAUUUUCUCGAACAAUAAAUUUGUUUAUAACACGCUUGAAAAAUAUUCGAUGCUGAAAGAUUUUUAAUUAAUUACAUUGUGUGACACUUGCAUGAUUGCAUUUACUCAACACAAAACAAUCCAUUAUUCUACUCUUUAUAUCCUUGUCCGUACUUUUAUUCGUCAGUGAAGUGCUCCUUCCAUUGUGAAAAUUAAAAUCGUUAUCAAUUAUCAAUAUUUUCUCCUAAAAUCGAAAAUACUUUGCAUAAAUAACUUACAAAAUGGAUCGGUACGAAAAAUUAACCGAAUCUUAUUAAUAAAAAACUCUCUCUUCCUUCACCAAGAACCAAAUAACCGUAAAAAAAACCAACUCCCUCGCUCAUCCAUCGCAAUAGAUUCACCCACCAAUUGACUGUUCGAAGCGAGCGAGCACGUCCUGCCGCACGAUUAGAUGAAACGAGCUUAUGCUUAUGCUCGUUUAACGGGUCUGCCAAGAGAGAAAGAAAGAGGGGGGGACUUGUGCGUCGCAACCGAUGCGUUGAAAAACGCACGAGUGCGCGAUGUAAACGACACACUUUAUCGAGGUGGAGGACGUGGAGGAAGAGGGCAAGGGUCGCAAACUCCGGUUUCUUUGAUCGGCGAUGCAUCGAGAAACCGCUCCGUGGAAUUCGAUAUUUCGGUGCAAUCAAGUGCCGAUCCCCCACCUCGGUUGAUAUAUGCAUUUCCUCUUUCGUUCGUCUCCUCUUGCUUCGACGUACACGCGUGUGCGGUGAAGUAGACAUCUCCUGUGGGUGCACAACUCGCGUGAAAUAAUUAACAACACUUGUGACGAUACACGAGCUUGAGCCGCGAGUCCCCACGGCCACUUGAAACAUUCACCAACGACGAUACGUGCUCGACUACGAUCAUCGCGAGAGCGAUGCAAAAAUUUAAUCGAUCAUCCCCGAUGUGGGACCUUUCGAUAUCGUCGAAUCGUUUUCAGAUAUUUGUUUAGAUCGUGAUCGAACUUGAAAUUUUCUAUCGGGAUAUUUUUACGAUUGAUGAUUUAGGGGGGAAAAAUUCAUGACGAUAUUUUCGUAAUAUGUGAUUCAUAAUUUAUAGGGAAAAAAUAGUGACGAAAUUGAAGUUGUAGCCACGUACGUACUCGUGGAAAUUGUCUGGGGAUGGGAAGUAGUGCGAACUAUUUAUCUUGUUGUUAGUGUAGGAAGUUGUUAAGCCUGUGAAAGUAGAACUUGUUGACGGAUAAAGUACAUUGUUGUUAUUGUACAGUCUCUAUCGUUAAAUUGGAGAUUCUUUUUAGUUGAAGAUUCUAUCUUAGGGAAAAUUAAAGAAGCGAAUUAUCUUUUUUUACUUUUACUAAAUUUUUACAUAAUAUUUUUUAAUUUAAAAUUCUUAUUUAUUCGAUAAAUCCAAAUUGAUCGAUUUAAAAUUGGAUGCAUUUUAUUUAGAAUAUCAGUGCAAAAUUAUCAAUAUAUGUAUAAUUUUUUUUGCCAAUAAAACUCAUGAAAUUUUUUAUAAUUUCAUUUGCAAACAGAUUUACAUCACGUAUUACAUUUGAUCCAUGAUAUUAACGACUCGAUACACGUUCAAGUUGACUUUAUAAACUUUUAUUUGUGUAAAAUGAGAUCGAUUCCCAGGGGCAAUAUUUGUCUGUUAUAAUUAAAUGCAACGUCAAUUCGAAAUUCAAUAAACAAUUUUAAAUAUUAAACGGCACGGGAAAAACAAACAAAUAAUUUCGUGGAUUUAUACGUACAUGUGAUUGGAAAUACCAAUUGCGUGUUAACCUUUAAAAUUUCGCGCAAUUGCACUCUUCUCUCUCCGUCUUUCUCUCUCUUUCUUUACCAGAAUAACAUUAUCUUUACAAUAAAAAAAAAUGUACAAAAUUAACAAUUAUUAAUUUUCUCGAUUCGAUUUCCAUAAUUAUUGCAUCAUUGUUAAAUCGAAUAUUCUCGAAGAUUCUUUUGCUCGAUACAAGUUUCUCAUGCGAAUAUCCGAGGAUCACAUGCAUGGGUAUUGCAGAGAUAUGAAUGACAUAUCCUUCGUAGAAGUUUUAGCUGUUUAACUACUUACGUUCAUUGUAAUCUCUGCACUAGUUAACGCGAGUUCCCUAUGGUUUUACUUGACGGUAUAGCUAUCAAAGUUCCUACACUCCAUUAAAAUUGGAAUAUCCUGAUAUGCCGAGUCCCAUGUCGUGUUGUAAUUUCAGUAUCGGUAUCGUAGCGGAUCAAAUGGUAAUACCUUCCAUCCCCUAUGUCUGUUGAAACGUGGUUCUAGGGUAAUGGUGAAAUUAUGCUUGGGAUGGGAAUGAAAUUUUAAGCGGAGAAUCGAUAGAAUAGAAUUUUCGUGUUGUGGGGUCAACCGAAAAUUUGUAUACACGUUGGUACAUUUUUAUAUCAUAUUUUUAAUAACAUACACGUUUAUAUAUUCUUAUUCUUUCCAAAAAAAAAAAAAGUGAAAAGUAUUCUAAAACACACACGAUUCAAUGCAUAACAAGUCUAAAUUUUACAAUUGUCAUUCUAUAAAUAUAUCCAUCAUAUAUGAAUUAUAAUUCACGAAUCGUCGUUUGAAAAAGUAUUUAAACAAUAUUAUUUUUCUCUGCUUUAAUUCUUAAUUCUUUCACUUUUUUAUCAUUAUGAACCAAAAGCUAUAAAUGUUCGACUUUUACCUCAUGUUUUACGACGAUAGAAUGCUUUCCCUUCGUUAGACAGUCGACCUUCGUUAGGGUGUCAGAUUCGAGGGAAACUUUGGGGAAAGUCCACAGUUUGCAGGCGGUGAUGGAAAACGCUCAGCCACAAGGAAUAACUUUUAACUUUCGCGAUUUUACGACCGCGAAGAGUUUAUACUUGCCGCGCGGUUCUUCAAAAGUCUGCUGAUGCGGAUACAAACUAACUUCUUUAUCGCAUGCUCGAUCAAUUUGAUAUUUUCAAUCGUGAAAUGUCUGUAACUGGAAUUUGCUCGAUUAAGAUCUCGUUGAAGAUCGUUGUUAAUGUAGAUCAAGAUUGAGAGAUCAAUCAAAUAUUUAUUAAUAACUGAAAUUUUCAUCUUAUUUUUCUUUAUUUACCGCGGUCCUUGAUCCUUCAUUUCGAUUAUUUGAAUAGUAAUAUAUUUGGAAAAAUAAGUUAUUUGGAUACUUGUUAUUUGAUUUUAUUAGAAAUAUGGAAUGAUUUUUUAAUAAUACAAAAUAACGAAAAGAAUUAAUAUAUUUUAUUUUAUUAUUAUAUUAUAAAGUAGUUAUUUGAUAUUUUUAAGUCGAGUGAAAAGUAUCCAAUCCUGUUUUGGGGAAUAUUUUCACAACCAUAUCAUGUUUUUGUACAUAAUUAAGUUUGUUGCAACGCUCGAAAGGCUCAGGACAUUUUGUGUUUCGUUUUAAUUAUCACGAUUAAGGUAUGUGAAAUAUAAUGUAUUAUAAUAAUCUUGAUAAAGAUUAAAAAUGGUAUGAUUAUUGUGCAUUGUUAAUAUGCUAUUACAAAUACUAAUAAGAGGACGUAAAUCGUGAUACAACUAUAUUUCGAUACAUCAUACCUAAUCCUACAGUGCAAUUAAUAACAGAGUUCGAGGAGUUUAUCAUUCAUGAAGUACGUUAAAUGCGAGUCACAAUAAAAAAUUAGCCUGUUUUGCAUAGUAAAAUAUUCUUCUUAGAGAGCGGCCUGACUCGACUCUCGUUUCUGAAUUACAUUCGACCGUGUUUCUGGCUCGAAUGAGCACGCUUUCUACAAGGCUUUAAACGCGGUCGCAUGAUCGUCUUCCCGGACUUUUAUUUUUUCUGGCGGAUCGUCAGCAAAUUAGGCAAAAUCGAGAGCUGCUGAACGAGAGGCCUCGCGCGCAUUCGAGGGAUCCGCAUUCUUCGCUCCGCUUUCACAUUUCUUUUACGGUCCAUCGGUGCGAGUUUUCGAGCGGGUUGUGACAUCUUCGUGAUCGUUGCUCUCCUUUUUUCGUUUAUGGAUGUAGUUGUUUCUGGAACAAAGAUUGAUGGUUUAUGAAGCGAGGUGAGAAAGUGUUACGAUGGAAAAUUUCGAAUGUGUUUGUUCAUUGUGUGGAGGAGGAUUUCUGAUAAUGAUUGAAACAAAUUUUAUCAAUCUAAUAAAGCAUUUCUUUUUUUAUUUGUUUCAGGUGAGUAAGCAGUAGUUGGAAUAAUUGGUAGUUAAAAUUAGGAGGAGGGUAAGCCCGAAUUCCAGGCAGCGAUUCGCUUUAUGGUGUAAGUAAUGAUCCACCAGGUGACCCGUUUCGAGUCGAGACGAUCGUUCGUCACCGUCUUUACAGAUCCAAAUCUUUCUUACCCUACAAUUUACUCGAGUCUAUGAUCCAUCUUCGAUCCAUCCUUUAUUCAUAUUUACGUACUCUCUGACACAUUAUUUCAAUGCUAAGGAAAAUCAGAUGUACUUUUUCGCAUCACCAAAUAUAUAUAAUUAUUUAAAUACAAUUUACAAAGAUAACGAUAUGACAAUUACAAAAAUAAUUAUUAAAAACUACAUAUUCUGUAAUUGGCAAAUUGUUAUAAAAAUUGAACAUGAUUAAGAGAGAGAACGAAUAAAGUAGAAUAGGCAUGAAUAUAUAUAUAAUAGAGUAGACAGCCAAUUGUCGGAGGGAACAAAAGGAUGUUUCCUCCACGCAUGUGCUGGAACAUGAUCUUCUUUAUCUCACCUAGGACGACUCUCUUCCGAUUAUUAUCCUUUCGAAGGGUGGAGCAGAUGUAGCUGCUACCGGUGUACCAUCUCGCAUCCAUGUCUGAUACACGAUCUCCAGAGAGAUUUCAUACGGCAGAGGUUGCACCCCCUCCCUUCUCCCCUCGGAUAUUCCCUGAGAAUUGCAAAUGUUUCGCCACCUUCCCUCGACAGCCAUUCCUCUCUCCUCCCCUGUCUCUUAUUCGUCUUUCGUUUCCUUCGAGACGAUGCGAUGCCACUUCUCGCCCUGGAUAUGGAAAUUUCAUAUAAGCCAUGCUGCACCAUUUCGGUGGGGCGAUACUAGGAUCUCCCUUUCCUUGGAGAUAAUGCAAUUUCUUGGCCGACUUAUUGCAUUCGCAGUCCCGGCCACUUUUGAUAUUUCACUAUGGUUGUUCCAUCGCUAUGGUGGGCUCCUGUGGAUAGGACUUUGUGAAGUAGAGAAUUCUCUAUGUUAGAGGGAAAAUAUCUCGAAUAGUCUCUACGGGAUAUCACGAUCCGUUUAAGUAUAUUUCCGAUACUUUGUCUCGGGUUUAAGAAGAGAAUCGUGUUUGAUGUCGUAUUUGCGUGUUUAAGUGAUAUCGGAUUAUUCACAUAAACGUAUGCUUUGGAUUUCAAAUAAGGCGACUAAAAUUUCUCCAUUGUGCUUCGUACAAGUUUGAGUUUAAAUUUGAAAAUAAAUUAAUAAAUAGUAACGAAUUAAAAGUCAUUUUAAUCCAUAGUUAUUAUUAUAAGAAUUAUAAUAAUUUAAAGUUUAUCUGAUGGAAUUCUUCAGUAAAAAAGUAAUAAUUAUAUUCUUGAAUACACAAAUAUCAGCAAAUAGCAAAAAGACAUUUAUUAAUAAAAAUUUAUUCAGUACAUCAUUUUAUUCAUAACGUAUUAUUAUUCACUUAGAAAUAAACACGUUCAAUCCAUUAUUUGAUAAACAAUCGGGAAAUUUUAAUCUUUCCAAAACUUUCUUCCAUAAAUUUUCAUUCCAUCAAACUUCCCCGAUUAAUUUAAAAUCAUCUUCCUAGAAUCGUUUAAUCGCUCCACCCCUCCACCCACUUUUUUAAAUCCCCGAAUUUGCAUACGUUUCACCUCACGCAGGAAACUUUAUUUUCUCCCUUAUCGGUCUAAACGAACGAUCGUUAUCAAAUAUCGGGGGGAGGGGAAUCGAGAGAACGGCUUUAUUCCACGCGACUUCCCCCUCCCCCCUCCUUUCAUCGAAACUUAAUAACGAGCGCGUGUCUAUCGACGUGAACGUAUAGUUUGUCGUAAGAUCGGGUAUAUUAAGUAUCCGUAUAUCAGACGGGCCAGAUCGUGAAUCUCUUCCCCCUCCUCUCCCUCUCUAGUUGAAGCACGGCCACCAACCUCCUCCAUAAAGCGAUUUACGAGCGUCGCAGAUUUACCGGGCGAAAUUGCGUCCCCGCGUUUUGCCACGGAUACGUUGACUUACGGCGUCUGGAGGAAUAUCAUUUUUCCCGCUUAAAUCGCGCUAUUGUUCCGCUCAUGCGCUUCAUUGCGUUUGCGAACUGUCUUUGCGGGUGUGUCGACGAGAUAUUAAAGAGGGAUUAUCGAUGGAGAGCUUUUGUUUCUCGGGGAAUUGAGAUUUCGUUGAACGACGAUUUAAGGAAGGAUAGGUUAGGAAUAUUUCGAUCGUUGAAAAAAGUUAUAUGCGUAUUGAUGGAUUGAUAGAAUUGGUUUAAAUUGGUUACUUUUAUUAUAAUAUGGAAUAAAUUUUAUAGGUGUGAUUGAUGUAGGUCAAGAUAGAUUGAAACAGAAACAUCGAUGAUCUUAAUCUUGAAAGAAGAAUUAAAUAAUAAUUAGGAAUGUUAGAGAUAGAUUAUUAAAGAUUCUGAUAAAAUAAAAAGGUAUAUAGAAUAUUUAUGUAUAGAUGUGUUAUCGUUAUUAUUUUAAUAUAUAUCAAUUUUUAACGUUUUUAUUCAACGAGUAAUUCAUAACAGAAAUAUCUUGUUUUUCAAAUACAAGCAUAUAUUCGAAAGCAAUACAACGUCAAAAAUUCUAGCCGAUAGUUCCAUCAGGUUCCUGUAUUCAUCAACUUUACCAAUCAAACUUCCGUUAGAUCAUGCCAAUACUAAUUUUAAUCAGAACUUUUUCUCCCCCUCCCCGAGUGUAUUUCAAACUCGAGUUUCAAUCUACUCACGAAUUUUUCACAAAUUUCACUUUCCAUCCAUCGUUUGGUCGUAUAAAUCUACACAUAAAUAGGGGUCUAUCAUGAGCACUAGGAUGAAAACAGAACGAAGCGAUUAAAUUGGCAAUAAUCAUUUGCCUAAUGGACAUUUUAGAGGCUCGAUGAAAAGGAAAAGGCUUGGCGAUAACGGCGCGAUUUUAUCUGGAAUUUCUGUUCGAUCGAAAUGCGACGCAAAUUGGCUUCAAAACAGCGUCGAAUAUAUAUAUGUAUAUACGUUUAAUGAAAUGAAAUUGCACGAAUCGUUAUUGUGGUAAAGCGGAGAUAGAUUUACAAGAUUAUUUUUACGAAAGCAUCCGAUAAUUGAACGUUUUUUUCUUCUUUUUUUUAAUCGCUUUAUUUUAUUUAAUCGCUGCGCGCAACGAUCGCAAAUCGAUAACCUGCAAAAGCAUAACGAUUAAAGCAUUUCGACGAUUUCUCAUUUCAAUUGCUGACUUUUACAAUAUCAUAUCGUGAUAUGUAUUAAUUAAUGCCAGUUUCGUGUAUAAUAAUAUUUGUUCGAGGGAAAAGAGAGGAAGAGAGGAAGAGAACGUAGAAUUUAUUUGAUUAGUUCAAUGGUGCGAACGUUUAAAAUUUUCACGACGCUUCACGAAGCGUGAUGCAUUAAUCGUGGGAUCUACACAGGGACUCGAUAAAUCUUUUGUCGAGCAUUUUUUGUCUUUCCCAAAGAUUUCUCUCAUUUAUUUACGAGAAUUAAUUUUCAAUUUGUUUUCUAGUAUCGGAGAAAGUUUUGUUCUUUGAGAAUUUCGUGUAAAACAAUAAUUUGAAAAAUAGUUUAGAGGAAACUAAAAAUUUAUUACGAUAAAAUAAAAAUAGCUUAUGUUUCGACAAAUGUUACAAUUUUUAUCUAACGAUACAAUAAAACAAUUUAAUAGAAGAGAAGAUCACAUUGAGAACUUCAAAGUUUCUUUUUUAAAGAAUCCAAAAUAUUCCUUCCAUUAACAUUGGCGUAACAUUGACAUAAUUAAACUUGAGAUUGAUCGUUUUUUUUUUUACUAAUCCAAUUUUCGUUAUCCAGUUAAAAAAUAGCAAUGGUCGAUUAAUUAUUCAUUUUUCUCACGAUAACAACAGAAAAAAUGCAUUGUGAUCCCCUUUCGAAGAAUCAUCCUGCGAUUUUCGAAUCCUCAAACAUCUGUAUAAUUUUAACAAUUAACGAUUCGAACGAUGAUAUUUCAUUUGCCAAGAAUUGAAAAUAAUCCAUCAAGCGGAUGGAACAAAUAUCCGCGAAUAACAGCGUCCCGUGUAAUUGAAUUCACUGUGUAACGUAAGAUGGACGACAGCCUUGUGGUCCGACAAAACGCUGUCGCACGCCACAACGAAAGAGAAAUACGAGGAGUAACCGGCAGACCAUUUUGGAAUGGUAUGCUUUUGCAGCAUAAGUAAUCCUUUGUAUCUCCGUAUAUUUCCGUGUCAAAGCGGCAAUAAUGCAUACAUGUAAUACACAGAGUACAUUUGUGCAUUUGACACGAGCACGACGAUGAUGUCGAGUUUCGAAAGUUCGUCCUAAUUCAUGAACAAUUAAUUGAGCCUUCCUGAUAUGUUAUUAAUCAUUUAAAGUACAUUCUUUGCGAGAUUAUAAUUGAAUUUAAAAGAUUCAAAAUAUUUUUUUAAUACCAAUAAACAUUCGAUGCAAUUACAUAAUAUAAUUCUAACCAAUCAUUUUACUAUCGUUACUUACUCACUUAUCUCAAUUACUUUUACAAAAAAAAACUAGCAAUUUUUUUUUUCAAAAAUAGUAAUAACACCGCUCGCUGCGAUACUAAUCAACGCACGUAAUAACACCUCGUAACGCCAUACCUGUCCUCUGUCUGAACUGGGCUGACAAUCAAGCCAGAAUCGAAUUCGAUAGAACCGUUAACGAGUCAAAGCGACACGCCACCGAAAAAUUCCCUAUAUCUGUCUCCCUAAACGUGACAAAGCUAACACUUAGCAAACCGACAAAAGCCGAUCCAAUAACCACGUGCCUCCUCGUCUAACCACGUUUACACGAUUACAGCUUAUACGAUUUAUCCAGUUAAAUCGAAGUGACAAAAUCGUAAGGAUAAAAUACGUGAAUGUCCAUAGACGGGAGCAAGAUGAACGAAUACGAAGAGCUUUAUUCAUCGAAGCCGUUUGCGAUCGCUAUGGUCUCCUCCUCUAUUCAAACGAGAGCCAACAGUUUGGUUGAGUUGGCAAACCGAUUCCCGAAGUAUAUAGGCCGUUUCGCUGGUGGAGAAUGGCGUAUACGCGUCAAAUAUAAAUUUAAUGACGCGUCGAAGCGUGACGGAGGGACGGUGUGGAUGGAGGUUGGGGAAGGGUGCAGCUUUAUAAAAUUGACUGGCUGUCCCGUUUCUGCCGGCGGCUCGAUGAAAACAAAUAGGCGAAAGGGCUGUCAAAUUCUGGAACCGUCGCGCCGCGCGUAUUGCGAGAAACUAGCAUUGAAGCUUUCGUACCGCGCUGCUGUGCAAAUGAAAAGGGGCUAUUUACCGGCAGUUUUUCACAGGUAGGGGAGGGGUAAAAAAUUCCACGCGUCUGCUUUUUCGUAUAUACCUAGUUAUCGGCUCGAGCUGCUGCCCGAAACGAAAUUCAUUGUGAAACGUUCGUGGAUUGUCCAACGUGGUUUGGUGAACGUUUAGCGCCAAUUUUUCAGAUUGUUAAAUUUCAAAGUCGCGUCAUUGUGAAUCGGAGAAGUUGGUUUUUCGUUGUUCCUGAAACAAUCUCGGAGUUGGAUAAAUAAUAUAGGAUAGAAAUGGUAAAUGGUAGAUGGUGGGUAGAUUAUCCAUAGUUAGGAUUAAUUCGGAUUUCGAUCUAUUCGGGGAUUAUCUCUUUUCCUCUUUUAGCGAGAAGGAUGGAAUGGUUGUAGGUUGUAGGCUCUCUUUUCUCAAGAAAGGAUUGUAAGACAUGAACGAUCGCGUGAGGGAACGUUUAUUAGGGACGAAAUUAAGAAAAUAAAAUGGCGUGAGUGGAUACGUUGCAAUUAUAUCGUGCGGAGGAAUGAAAAAUUUUUUGUGAUCUGUUAUUUUCUGUAUAAAAUUAACCACGUUUUCAAUCAUUUCCUCGUAUGGUAUGAUUAUUUUUAUCAAAUCUUUCCAGUAAAUCUGAAUUAUUUAAUUCAAAUCAUAAUCUUAUUAUUCGUCUUUAAAUUAUUGUAACAUUUUGUGUCUUGAAGAAAUAUAAAAUGUUUUUAAAAUUAAAUUUUGCUGAAGCAAUUCUAAAAUCUCCUAAGAUAUUUCAUAAAUUGAUCAAAAUGAUCUAUAAUCGACAAAUUAAAUUAAUCGUUUAUUUCUGGAAAUUUGAAAGAUUUUAAUAAAUUAUCGAAAAUAAAAUUUGAUAUAUUAUUGAAGAAGUAUAUAAUUUUGAAACAUAAGUUGUGAAUUUAUAUUUUGCCAUGAUGCAAAAUCAUAUGGGGAAGUUGAUAGCACGAAAAUUCAACUUCAAAUUGUUUACAAUAUCCAGCAUCUAUCCAUUUCUCUAUCCUUCUCUUUUAGUUGUGCGAACAACUCUUGACACCUAUUCCUUUAAAAUUCAUUUUGGUAGAAACGAGCCAACACUCGAGUUCAAUAAAAACUUUCAACAAAGUUUUGACGUGUUCGUUAACGUCGUAUUUUGAAAAAGUCAUUUUCAAAAUAUAACGGCAGACGAUUAGAUACAGAUGAUUAUUUUUAAUCGUAAAUUUUUCAGCAUUGUUAAUAUAAAAGUUAUUAAUAUAAAUGGACAGAAAUGAAAGUUUUUGUCACAAAUAAAAUAUUUUAUUCAAAAUCUAUAAUUAUAAAUAAACGAUUAAGAAAUGAAGUUCUUCAGAAUUUAAAUAACAUUUUAAAUGCUGUAAGCGAAUUUGAUUAAAUAUUUACCAAACUCAAAGAUGUAUAAAUAGUUAACGAGUAAUUAAUAGAAGUAUAUACAUAUAAUAAAAUAUAGAAUUGAAUACUUUUCUAGGUAGAAUUAUUAAAUCCAUUUGACAUUUCAAAAAAGAAAGUUUCAAAGAAAUUGGAAAUUAACUGCAAUCAAUACGAUUCUCCUUAUUUCCUAUUCUGAUCAAAUGCGGUUCACACUAUUGUCCGACCAAACACACUUCAUACCACUGCCAACACUCAAAUAUCUCACGUUCCAUUCGUCCCUAUAUAUUACCUCUCCUCUUCUCCUAUUCUCUUCUUCUGUUCGAUCCACUAAAAUUUUCCAUCUCAGAUUUUUCCUUUUCCAUGAAUGAGAUAAAACUCACAUUAAAGAGCCACUAAUCCCACGACUCGAAACUUGCCUUGGCACGAACAAAAAUCUUCCUUCUUCUUUCUCAUCAAUAUCUGAGGAUUUUUUUUUCAGAAAUCUAUUACUGUAUUCCCUUUUCUUCGUCUUCGUUCUUCGUUACAAUUUGAUAUUGAGACGAAAAAGAGAUCGAUAAUUUCCACUUUUGACUUCGAAUCAUGGAAUCAUUUUUAGAAGCCGUUUAUAAAGAAGUUACGAGAUCACUGUCAAUCGGUGAGAAUAGAGAGAUAUUCGUACGAGGUUGUAAAUUCAACGAGCCGCCUAUCUGGUCGAUUGCGUGCGGAAAUUGGAUCCCUGGCUCUCGAUUCCUGAUGAAAAGCAUCGUCUUACCUGAAGGAAUUUCGACUGAUUUCCCUUCGAUGGAUGGAUCUUAUUGGUUUAAGAUAGGAAUAAGCAGGAAGAGAGAAAAACCGAGGUUUAGAAUGCGUUUAGGAUCGUGGAAAUGCGGCUGGGAUCUAUUGAAGGUAUUUGGUCAUUGUUGAAUAGGACAAAAGAUAAGGGAGGUAUUGUGCGAUGUUGUUGGAGGGGAGGCGAAGAAGUCGAAUUUGGAAACGGUUCGGUCCAUUGUUGUUGCGCAAACACGAUAUUGCAAUUUGGGAUCGAGGAUCAAUAAUAUUAUUUCGGUGUUGACAUUGGUAUCUAUAUUUCCUCUGAAUUUCUUGUAUCGCAGAAUUUUUUAAGAAAUUCAUGUUACUUAUUGUUGAUACGAGUAUAACGCGUGUUGAUCAAGUAAAAGUUUUCCAUUAGAUCUUACAAAUGCACAAUUGAUUCUCAUUCCCAAACAAUUUACUUUAAAAUAUCUUAUUCAUUUAUAUGAAAAAUCUAUCACUAAAUAAUUUAUUUCAUUCGAGUUUAAUUCCUGAUUGAAUUAAUUCUUUCUUCUCAUCGAUCGCGUUAUACAAUAAAUAGAGCGACUAAAUAAUUCAUAUAAUUCAAUAACAAACAUCAAAAAUUUCCAUCCAUCGUGUAAAAAUUCACGGGUAUAUUAAAAAGAGAGAAAGAAAACGAGCUUGGCAAAUAAACUAACAGAUCGGUGUAAAGUUCAAACCGGCGUUCCUCGCAGGACAAAACAGAUUAGAUUACAGGGGAGGAGGAUGGAAAGCGGGCAUCGCGUUAGGAUUUCCCAUGCGAGGCGUACAUUACGUUACGGUGCACCAUGAAAUAUGCAACGCUAUCUGCUGGCACGGCCGCAACGCCACGACGACGAUCCUCACCCUAUUUCCAAGCCGACUGCUUCCUAUGCACGAGCCACUUGGCCGCGUCCGUGGCUUCGAAAUCGGGGGAUCCAACGCGAUCGAAAACCGUAUCGAACCGAACAUCGUUAUCGUCGACCAACACCCCUCCCCCUCUCUAUCGAUACCCGGAGAAUUUGACUCUGGACCAAAAUUACCAGUAACGAGGUAGCAGCGACGGUUUCCGCGGAAACCGACCAAUUUUCCGGUAUUUCUCCGUGGAGCGGCCGCUAUUCGCUAUUUCAUGGGUUUGUCGUUUGAAUCGAUACGGGCUAACGAGUACUUUCUAUGGGCUGAUACGUUUCUUUGUGUCUUUUAACGUGUGUAUGGGAAUUAACGGACGGUUUGAUGGAGAAGGCGAGAAAUUGCUUCGAGUAUAAGCUUUCUGGUGAUUGGCGUGUAAUAGGAGAAAAAAAGGGGGAAUCGUAUUGUGGAAGUUAUUGGUUUGGUGGGAGGAAGGAUUGUUUUGGUCGAGCCAUGAUUUGUAACGAAAUGUUAUAUUUUGAUUUAAUGUAUAUAUUCUUUAGAGGAAAAGGUUUAAAUCAAAACUUGGAAAUUGGAUUGAUAUCGGUGAAUAUUAUAAAUCAUAAAGAAAUUAUAGAUUUAUAUAUAUAUAUAAGAUUUGAAUGUACAUAAGUUUAGAAAAUAUGCGUGACAUGCAGAAAGAUUCAUAAUUGAGAAAUCAUAAUAAUAAUAAAACAAAUUUAUUCGACGUAUAAUCAUCGAUUCAUUAAUAUCAUGCAAUAAUAUUCCGAUGAUAAAUUUCUGAAGUCUGAUUAAACUUCACUCUCUUUACUAUUUCCAUCUUCAAUUCUCGCAAUUCAUUCCAGUUGAUAUUCACAAACAUAAGUCCAGCUGAUAUCCAAACCAUCCCGUUUAAUUUCUCAUCUCCCUUAUCGCCCAAAUACCAUUCGACAAAUUUCUGAAUUCGCCUCCACGCGAAAUCGGGAGAGAAGGAAACACGAUAAACCGAAAACACGUAAGAAAAGCAAGGGUCGAGAAUACCUUUCAUUCAAGCUUAAACGGCCUGGCCGAAGUUUAAGUGGGCCAACCUUCUCCGCCCAAUUAAAAACCCAAUUCCAAAAGCUGUGGGAGCAGAGGGAGGAGGAGGCGAGGUUUCACACCCUCGCGCUUCCGUGUGUCGAGACUUUUGAGUGGCUGUUUCGCCCGAAGCAACUCUAUCUAUCCGCAAGAUUCCCCGGGAAAAUUCGAUUGCCUGUAGGAGCGACGUCGAAAUCCUUCACUCCCUUCGCUCUCGCCUUGAUAUGUCGAUAGAGAGGCACAAUUAUAUCCGUGAUGACGUCUAAACUAAAUCGACUUGUACGUGUAUUUACCCGUGUGGCGCAAUUAACAGUGUUAGAGAAGUCGGAUGCUGUAACGAGGAUUCAUCCUUCGUCACUUAGGAUUCAUCCUUACUGAGCGAUGACGAUGUUUAAUUAGCGAUGAUGAGUGAGUUUUUAAUAAUUUUUAAUAAUUCAUAUUUGUAUGAAUAAAUAUCUUCUCUAUGUAUAAGAUGUUGAUAUAUUUGAGAGACAAACAGAGGCUUUCAUCAUACCAUAAUAUUCGCUUUAUUUUCUUUUGUAUUUGUUUUGAUUUCUAGAAUCGAUUCUCCAAAGGUAUCCACGGAUAUAUUAAUAGCUUAAAUCUUGAAUACACGAUACGAAGAUAUACACGUAUGUAAUUUCCUUGCUAUUUGAUCUUCUCGUUUUAUUGGCGUUUUAUUCUAGUAUUACGGUGAAAGAAAAUUAUUUGUAUUUAAUAAAUGUCGAUUAAACGCGUUGACGCAUGGAUGCAAAUUUACUCUCAAUUUCGUAUUAAACAUUGUAUCGAUUCCGUCGUCAGUCGCGGCAAGAGAUGCUGCAAAACGGAGAGAUAAUCGCCUCCAUUCGAUUUGCCGGUAAAAUGGAUAGAUUCCGCCGUCUGACUUCUGUAUUAAGCGUUAAGCGAUCAACAACGUUGAAUAUUACUCGAUUCCCUGACUCCGGAGUAAUAUCAAAGGUUUCUAGAAAUUACAUUCAAAACUUGAAAUUGCUUCAAAUCCGAUCAUUACGUAAUAUAAUCAUAGAAAAUUGCUUUGAUAAAAUGCAGUAUGAUUAAAAUUGUAAUAAAUCUAAAUUAUAUCGUAGAAACUUUUGUAAAUAUAAUAGAAAUGCAUCAACUAUGAUUUUUGAAUAGUUUUGCAUAGUUCUGAAGCAUGCUUUUACAUUCCUCUCCCUUACUUUUUAUUUAAAUUCGUCCCAGUCUUUCAUACUAAAGCUAAAUAAUGUGUAAGAUAAUGGAUAUGAAUCGUAAAAGUGUGAAAGAUUUCAAUAAUGAAAGGAUACAAUUACGCGUUGCGAGAGCAGAGAAAUGGAGCACUUUAGAAACAAUGAAUAAUUCCGGUAGGAUCUUCCUGCGGUAGUAGUUUCAAUUUACGUUGUAGCAUGUCUAUUUCCUGCAAUUUCCAUGACUAAUCAUUGAUUCCUUCAGCCAGAUCAUUAUAUUAAUAGCAAAUAGUUCUUGCAUCUCAAGAACAGAUCUAUUAAAUUUGCCAAUGAAUCCAAUAUUCAACAUAUUAGAAUUUGUUGUAUAAUAAUGCUAAUAACGAUAAUAUUGUAUUUGCUUAUUGAAGCAACAAUAUUAUACAAUAUUCCUGUUACAAUUAAUAUAUAUAUAUA